rnacentral:rRNA from 1 species
UAAGACCUCGCGCUAUUGGAGCGGCCGAUGUCCGAUUAGCUAGUUGGUGGGGUAAUGGCCUACCAAGGCGACGAUCGGUAGCUGGUCUGAGAGGAUGAUCAGCCACACUGGGACUGAGACACGGCCCAGACUCCUACGGGAGGCAGCAGUGGGGAAUUUUGGACAAUGGGCGCAAGCCUGAUCCAGCCAUGCCGCGUGAGUGAAGAAGGCCUUCGGGUUGUAAAGCUCUUUCGGCCGGAACGAAAUCGUUCAGGCUAAUAUCCUGAAUGGAUGACGGUACCGGAAGAAGAAGCACCGGCUAACUACGUGCCAGCAGCCGCGGUAAUACGUAGGGUGCAGGCGUUAAUCGGAAUUACUGGGCGUAAAGCGUGCGCAGGCGGCUUUCUAAGUCAGAUGUGAAAUCCCCGGGCUUAACCUGGGAACU